UUCUCCCGCCGCUCUCCCCGGGCUCCGCACACACAGUCCGAUGGCGGCGCCCGCCCAGAGGCGCGGGGCUGAGGUUGGCGUGACCUUUGAGGACAUUGCCCUGUACUUCUCCAGGGAGGAAUGGAGCCUCCUUGAUGAGGAUCAGAGACAGCUGUACCUGAAUGUGAUGCUGGAGAACUUUGAACUUCUAUCCUCCCUGGGCUGCCUCCUGCAUGCUCCAUCAUGUGCCCUCACUGGGAAUCCAAUCCUGACCACCUACUUCAUUGGUUGACACUCAAUCACCCAAUCACCGAACCUCAUCUGGCCAGUAUCACAUGAUCUCACUUAUCUAUGGGAAAUAAUGAACAACAUAAACCGAUGAACAAAAACAGACCUGGAGACAGGGAAGCAUCGAUCAGACUGUCA